rnacentral:rRNA from 1 species
AGGUGGCCAGCGUUGUCCGGAUUUAUUGGGCGUAAAAGCGAGCGCCGGCGGUUUUUUUAAGUUCUGAUGUGAAAGCCUUCGGCUCAACCGAAGAAGUGCAUCGGAAACUGGGAAACUUGAGUGCAGAAGAGGACAGUGGAACUCCAUGUGUAGCGGUGAAAUGCGUAGAUAUAUGGAAGAACACCAGUGGCGAAGGCGGCUGUCUGGUCUGUAACUGACGCUGAGGCUCGAAAGUAUGGGUAGCAAACAGGAUUAGAUACCCUGGUAGUCCAUACCGUAAACGAUGAAUGCUAAGUGUUGGAGGGUUUCCGCCCUUCAGUGCUGCAGCUAACGCAUUAAGCAUUCCGCCUGGGGAGUACGGCCGCAAGGCUGAAACUCAAAGGAAUUGACGGGGGCCCGCACAAGCGGUGGAGCAUGUGGUUUAAUUCGAAGCUACGCGAAGAACCUUACCAGGUCUUGACAUACUAUGCAAAUCUAAGAGAUUAGACGUUCCCUUCGGGGACAUGGAUACAGGUGGUGCAUGGUUGUCGUCAGCUCGUGUCGUGAGAUGUUGGGUUAAGUCCCGCAACGAGCGCAACCCUUAUUAUCAGUUGCCAGCAUUAAGUUGGGCACUCUGGUGAGACUGCCGGUGACAAACCGGAGGAAGGUGGGGAUGACGUCAAAUCAUCAUGCCCCUUAUGACCUGGGCUACACACGUGCUACAAUGGAUGGUACAACGAGUUGCGAACUCGCGAGAGUAAGCUAAUCUCUUAAAGCCAUUCUCAGUUCGGAUUGUAGGCUGCAACUCGCCUACAUGAAGUCGGAAUCGCUAGUAAUCGCGGAUCAGCAUGCCGCGGUGAAUACGUUCCCGGGCCUUGUACACACCGCCCGUCACACCAUGAGAGUUUGUAACACCCAAAGUCGGUGGGGUAACCUUUUAGGAACCAGCCGCCUAAGUGACAGAGAUCGGG